GAGCCAGUGCAGCCUAGUGGUUUGAGUGUUGGACUAGGACUCUGGAGACCAGGUUCGAUUCCUGGUAGGUCA